CUCGGUUCAUCUUCUUUCCACCCGAGCACCCCUUUCCUCCUCUCCCGAUCGCUUCCAACAGGCGGCGGCGUUCUUGGCGGAAGCUGCGAGCGACGGCAACGACCUCUGAUCGUGCUCAACUCGCCGGAGUGAUUCUCCGGUGAGUCCCCUUCGUCCAUCACUCCUCCAAAAGCCCUGCUGGAGUGGUCGCAAGGCUGGGAAUUCAAGGAGCGGCGGCGGCAGCGAGCUUCGAUCAUCUCCAUCUCACCGGAGUGGUUCUCCGGUGCUGUCCUCCACCUGCCGGCGUCCGUCAAUCCAUUCCUGCUUCCCGUGGUUUGGAAAGGUAAGAGGAAGAAGCGGCAGCGGCAGUGAGUUCCAUUGCCAUUUCUCCGGCGUCAGUCCAUCCAUUGACGGUGAAUCCUCGAGCUUGAAGUGCCCCUGCCGAAGUGGUUGCAAAGGCAGGAAGAUCCUGAAGGAGCUCGGCAGUCCACCUUCAUUCGCUGGAGACUAGCUUCACGGAGUUGUUCUUGAUUCCGGUUUCAUCCUAUCUGGCCAAGCUCGCUGUGGUUCGCGUGGGCUGAAGCACAGAUCAACGGAGACAGACAGCCCUCCACCUCUUCUGGUCAACUUUCAUCGGAGUGGUUCUUCGGUGGAAGAUUCAUACCAUGGUCGUUGUUGAAGCAAGCGCUACCGGUAUCUUCACUGCUGUCCACCGGAGCUGGUGGUUCCAUCUCCUGGCCUCCAUUGUGACGGCGGGUAGUCAUUUGGAGUUGGUUGUGGAUUUGGGGUUUGGUUAACUUAGUUUAUUUUCAUAUUUGAUUUUGAUCAUUACUUAUCUUAUUGCAUGUUUUUGUUAUCUGAUUAUGCUUGUUCAUUGUGCCUAUUGAUGGUAAUUCUUAUGUCAUAGUGUGACAAUGUGGUGCAGGGUGAUCUUCGAUGGUUAGAUAGCAUUGUUGGUUAAUUCUUGAUGCAUGUUCUUUCUGUUGAUUGUGAUGUCCGUAGCGUAUGGUGACAAUGCGUUGUGAGUUCAUUGUUGAUUGUUAGCUAGGAUUUUGAUUAUUGCAUUAGCAUUAGAGAAAACCCCAGAAAAUCCCCCUUGUUUGACUUCGUCUGAAGACGAAUGUCUUGCCAUUAGUUCUGCGAGAGAGAUUACCCCCGAGUCCUUUACUAUACUGCCUUAGUGUAGAUCAGAGGUUCCGAUUAAUUAUUCAUUGUUAAUUUUGAUUUGAGUGAGUGACAGACGUUCGACUAGUGCCCAGCGAGUAAACAUAUUAUUCAUUUUGAGAACAAGUGAACCUAUCAAGGAAAGCAUUUUCAUAUUGUAUUAAACUAUCAUAGGAACCAGUCACUAAGUGAAUAUAAACUAAAGUUGUAGGCGUGCCAAACUAACAAUUCUUUCUUAAUUGUUUUUCCUAUCGGCCUUGAGACCUAGUCUUGAAAUUUCAUCUGAUGCCAAUAUAUAGAUUAAAAAAACAUGUUUAAGCCAUAUCAACUGUUAGGUAUCUAUUUAUAAGUUAUAAUUGAAUUAGCUUUAUGGUUUUCUCAACAGUUAGGCACCAGCACCAAUGUUGCCAUAGGUAUCCAUGUUUAUAUGUGUUCCUUUUGAAGUACCUUGUCCUUUCACAGCACUAGCAGUUAAUUUCAACACUAUUUUCUGAUCCUGACGGGUGUGAAAAUUUGACUUACUGGCCUCAUCUAACUCAAUGCUAAUUGAUGUAUUUGAGUUGAAGGUUCUCUAUGAUCUUGUCAAAAAAAAAAAAAAAAAAAAAAACUUAAGUACUCAGAACUGUUGUUUUCAAGUAUUCUGAAUUAUUCCAAGAUCACUAUGUAAGAAGUAAAAGGUAAGCACUGAUCGGGGUUGGUGGGACAUAUAUCUUCCUUGAAAUUACUUAAAAAAUAAAAUUUUGUAAAACAAAAUACUCAUAUUCAUCUAUACUCUGUAUGUUACCUUUCUGAUGAAACAUAUUCAAUUCUUAAAGGAUGUGAAAGUAUACAAUUAUACUAUUGAUGAUGGAGAAUGACCCGCAGAUAAAUGAAAAUGAUGAAAUGUAGUUUACUAGGAGGUAAAUUUCCUUCUUUUGAAGGAUUUUACACAUACUAUUUUGUAGGUUCACAGCCUCUGUAUAUAUUUUUAAUCAUGUUACAGAUUGUUUGAUCCAAUUACUGCUGUGUCUGUUUUAUCAGUUCUAAUAUUAUUUUCUAGCAAUACUUUUUUGUUGGAUCAAAGUACGCUUGUCUUACUUGAAACUCUUAGCUUUCCCUUCAUAAAGAAACCAUGUUAAUUAUAUUUGUUUAUUUUUUCAUUCUAGGUUCUUACCCCAAAUAUUCCAGACAUUGUGGUUGUGACUCUUGAAGACAAAAUUCCAUUCUUGAUCAGCAGGGAUCAACUUCCUUUAGAUAAAAUUGAUUGGGAUGUAGUUGAGAAUUCAACUAAACCCUAUAACAUUAAUAUAAUCAAUAAUCUUAUUUUAUUCAGACUUUUAAUAAUCUUAGUAAUUCUAUGUUAGUAUAUAUGAUUUUAUUAAUGGCCAUUGUUUUAUUUAUUAAUUUUAUUAAUAAAUAUUUAUAGUGAGAAUAAAUAAUUUAAAAAGAGCUGUAACAUGCAAUUAAUUAAUAUAAUCCAGUAUUAUUAAUUUGAUAAAUAUUGUUUUAUAAAAUUUUAUCAAUAUUUUUUCAUUAAUCUGAAAAUGUUUAUGAUAAUGGAUAAUAUCAUAUACACACACAUAAUAUCUAUAUAUAUGAUUCUUAUCCUACCAAGUGCCCUUGCUGCACCUCUUCUUCUUUUCUCUUUGCUCUCAGCUUAAUCUUUUCCUCCUUCUUAUCCUCCACUUCCUCUGUGUCAAGCAAUACUGUUGUUAACAUUGAAGUAUCUCAGGGUACACCAGACUAGUCAAUACUUUAAUGUAUCAUUCUAGCAUGAUGCUAUUACUGAAACAUACUGAGACCUUAUAACUUACUAUUUGGCAUAUGGAAUCAUUUGGAAAUGUAAAGAAAUAUACCCAAUAAUUUCAACUUCAGAGGUAAGUGCUAUCCUAAUCAAAAAAUGAUGCUGAAGUUGGCCAGUGUAAAAUAAUGUAAACAAAUAUACCCUAAGUUAAGUUGCUAUAUGUUUUGGGGUCAGACUAUACUUGGCAUAGAGUGUAUAGAUUAGGCUCUAUCUACAGUUUGAUGCUUUGCGAGGAGGUAACCUAAUCAAAAUUACUAAUAGAUUAUUAGGGAGAGUGUUAUCUUGUUCCAACUUCUAAGGCUUCCUUCAACUUGAUAAAGAAAGUCCCUCUUCUAUCAUUUAUUCAACCUUUGUAAACUUAUUGUUAUAAAUAUCAUUUUCAAAUAAAGUAGUACAAUAUGAAAUUGUUGUUAAUGUUGAUAGUGAAUAUUAAGCAAUAUUAGUGGAAUAUCUUUUGUAAGUGGAUAGUAAUUAUCUGCAAAAGAUUGUUUAGAUAUGUGAAAGCCGUAAGAUAUCCUCUCUAAUGCUAAUGCUGAUGCUGCUGGAGGUAACAUAUCUUGAUACUGAUGCUGAUGCGGCUGGUGAGGUAACAUAUCCAGAUGCUGAUGCUGCUGGAGAGGUAACAUAUCCAGAUGCUGAUGCUGCUGAAGGUAGUUGAAGUUCUCACAGAAUCAUUGACUUUAAAUGAAACACCCGUACCAACAAAAGUUGCAAGGCUUAUGUUGGUGUCUGAUAUUCUCCAUAACAGCAGCACUCCAAUUAAGAAUGCUUCUACAUAUCGUACAAAAUUUGAAGCUACCCUUCCUGAUAUAAUUGAGAGCUUUACUGACUUAUAUCGCAGCAUUUACUGGAGGAAUCACUGCUGAAGCUUUGAAGGUGAGAUCAGGGAUAUGGACUCAGUAGCCAUGGAUCCAUUUGAGUCUUUGAUGAUGGAGGCAGCUGAAGUUGACGAUAUUGAUCACAUGAAGAAGAGGCUCACUACCAUUAAGACACGUGAGUUGGUUCAAUUGAUACAUGAUCAAGGGAAACAAGUUUGGUUCAUCCAACAAGGGAAGAAGCUCAAGUCAAAAUUAAUUCAACCCAUCACAAGGAAUCACCUCUCAAGCUUAACCCAAGUCAAAUCCUCCUCACCAAAAUCCUAAAACCCCACUUAAACCAAACCCAAAGCUAUUGUUUACAACCGGUUCAAACCCAUGUAUAAAACUCAGAUUUCUCGCGGAUGAAUAGUAGCUCGGGUUAUUGUUCAUCCGUGUUUUUUUUCUCCCGCGGCUCCCGAUUCACCUCCGAUUAACUCCUCAAGUGCCAACGUCAGAGAGGGAGUUUCAAGGUAGCUACUAGACUAUCUUUUGACUACUUGGAAUUCGCCGGAGGGAGGUUUCGACAGCGAAUUUGUUGUUGUCCGAACUUUCUAUUUCUGCCACAGAUUUGGAGGCGUUCCUCCGAUCUGUGAUUUCACUUCUCAUCAGCAACAUUUGGAGGCAUUUUUCUGUUGUUACUGAGCUCCUUCCAAUGACCACUCACCAUCUGCGGCCUUCAUCCAGAUUCAGUGAUACAGUUUCCUUCGUCGACGGCGAAAUCUGAGCAACUAGUAACCGUCGUCCGAGGAUCAAAGCGUGGUAGGCGGUGUUUUCCCUGUUCGCGAUCUUGAUUUCUGCGUUCCCCUGCUUACAUAGAUCAGAGGGCGUUUCCCCGAUCUAAGUUUCCAUCAUCCAAUAUAGUUGUUCGCAAACUUGAAGGGCGUUUCCUAGGAGUUGUGAGUAUCAUCAGUACCAGCUUGGCAUUCAGUUUUUCUUCAUUGAUUGCUUGAAGGGCGUUUCCCAAAGGCAUAUCUGUUCUUAGUUGGGAGUUGGGAUCUUCUUCGUUGAUUGCUUUCAGGAUGUUUUUUAAGGAGCGUUUUUGUGUGACGACAAGAGGGUUUAUUGUAGAGUUGGUUGCGAGUUUAAUUGGUUCCCUUAAUUUCAUUUACUGUUUUUAUAGCUUAGAAUUAGUUUGCCGUUUAGUUAAAUUUCUUAUGUGUUUUGCUAUUUCGUACCUUAGUUUAAUUGUGUUGAUAGUUAAACCCAUAGCGUAGAGUGACAAUGUAUUGUGGAUUAAUUGUUGGCACUUAGUUAGCUUUUAUUCAUGCAUUAGAUUAGUUUCUUACUGUUUAGUUUUUUCAUUUGUUAGAUUUAGAAUUAAAAUUAACAACCCCCAUUUCAAUGAGGAAAACUUCAAAAAUAUUCUAAGUCUAAGACAAACAUUCGAUUGUUAGUUCCUUGAGAGAUUCGACUUGGGCUCUUUAUUACGAUAUCAUUGUGUAGCUAAGGGGUUCAUUGAAUAUAAAUUAAUUUGAUUUGUUGGUAUGACAGAUUUGUUGUCAGAAUCACACAUUCGGACUUCAUCAAUCGAGAAACAAAUAUCCCGACCUCCUGUAGGAAUUUCAUAUCCGGAUUUCAACCCAUUCGAAAUCAAACAUCUUGACCUCUUGGCAGAAUCCCACAUCUGGACUUCGUGCCUAGUGUUUUGUCUUCUUGACCCGUUUAAUUAGACAGCCCUACACACUCGGUAAUAAGGUUGAUCAACAACACAUCUAACUUUAAUCCAUUUAUUAUUCAUCAAAAUCAAAGUUUGAUCAUUGGUGCCAAUUUCACCAACAAAUUCAUCAUGAAUGACACCACCUUCAUCGGUUGCGAAGCGGUGGGGUUUUUCAUGUAGUGGCUGGCGCUGGUAGAAUCGCAUACAGUGGUGUUGCUCGUCAUCCUCGGCAUCAUGUACGGCCACAUACUCAUGGAACUCGCUCAGAAGAUGCUAAGGAUGUGACUUUUUUUUUUAUAUUUCCUAAUAAUUAGAAGGCAACCACCUCCUACAGUCUUCUCUAGUUGAGAGAGUCCUCACGAACAGAGUCCUCGUGAAGCUGCUUCCCAAGGCAAUCAUCUCAAUCAUCUUCUCUGUAAGUUUCUAAAUACCCAUCUUCUUCUCCAUGAGUUUUAUCGAUAAGUUUCUGAGUACACAUUGUCCAUUGAUCUUCUCGGUAAGUUUCUUUCUCUAUCAAUUUUCUGAGUACCGUUUUUGUUCUCCGUAGAAUUUCUGAGCACCCCGUUAAGUUGUUGUACUCUGGUCAAAAUGAGCUCUCCAUCCUCCACUACCUUUUCUUCCCUUCAAUCCAUAUUCAGCCAUAGAGAUAUGGUUGACACAUUGCUGAUGACUCUGGGCUUCGUUGAUGCCGUCGGCGAUGGCUUAUUGACACUUACCUUUUUUAUGUUCAUCCACAUAAUCUUCAAUGCCAUAGGUGAGGGUUCUAUCGAAGCAGUUAACGAGGUACAAAUUAUUUGUGUUUAGUAUUUUUCAUUGCUCUCUUUUAUUCUAAGUUGCAUUCUGUUCAGAGCGUACUCAAUUUGGUGUAUUUGACCGGCGGUAGCUUCUUAGCAUCAUUUAUGGGUAAGACUUGUUGAUUUGAUUGAGUUGAUCAUUUUAUUCAGGGGCGUUUGGUUAAAUGAUGGGAAUGACUAUGAGUAUGGAUUUGAUAGUAGGGUGGAAUGGGAAUAGGAAUGAAAAUGAAACCCAUCAAGUUAUAUGAGUUUGGUUGAUUCCCAUAAAUCUAAUAAUCAUUCCCAAAAUGUCAUUCCUAAACUCACAAUCCAAACAUUGUCUUUUACUAUCAUUUCAUUUCCUCAUUCCCAAACCCAUUAACCAAACACCCCCUUAAUUUAUUAUUGAUUUGAAUUGAUUGAGGUGAUUUGGCAGAGGGCAAUUGUUGGAUGAGAACAGGGGAGAGACAGGCGUUGCAGAUGCGGGCAUGGUAUCUUUUAGCGAUUCUCUAACAGGAUGUCAAAUACUUUGACCUUAACACCGACACCGACACUGAAGUCAUCACUAGCUUCACCAGAGACAACCUUAUCAUACAAGAUUGCCUUAGCGAGAAGGUGCCCAACUUCAUCAUAAACGAUGCCACCAUCGGCUGCUACAAUGUGUGGUUUUUCAUGAUAUAGCGGAUGACUCUAGUGGCAUUGCCUACAGUGGUAUUGCUCGUCAUCCCCGGCAUCAUGUACGGCUGCAUCCUCAUAGAGCUCACUUAGAAGAUGUGAAGGAUGUGACUUUCAUUUUACAUUUCCUAAUAAUUAGAAGGCAACCACCUAUAAUUCUCCUCGAGUUGAGAGAGUCCUCACGAAGCUACUUUCCAAGGCAACCACCUCGAUCUUCUUUUCCAUAAGUUUCUAACUACCCAUCUUCUUCUCCGUGAGUUUCUCCGACAUGUUUCUCAGUAUACAUUGUCCAUUUAUUUUCUUCUUGGUAAGUUUUUUUCUUUGUCAAGUUUGUGAGUAACAUUUUUGUUCUCCGUCUAGUAUUUGAGUACCCCAUCAAGUAGCUGUACUCCGAUCAAAAUGAGAUCUCCAUCCUCCACUCUUUCUUCCCUUCAAUCCAUAUUCAAUCAUAGAGACAUGGUUGACACGCUGCUGAUGACUCUGGGCUUUGACGACACCAUUGGCGAUGGCAUAUUGACAAUUGCUUUGUUAAUGUUCACUCACGUAAUCUUUAACAACAUGGGUAAAGGUUCCAUCGAAGCAGUUAACAAGAAAUUAAUGGAGAUGACAACGAAUUGAGGAGAAGAACACCGAUUCGGUCCAAUUCAAUUGUUGGGUGUUUAAGAAGAUCAAGUGAAGAACCCAUUUUAAACUCAAUUUUAGAAGCCAAAUAUCAAAAACCUCUAGUCCGAUCUAAAGCUCAGUCCAAGAAGAAACCCUAACAUCUUAUUCCAAUUGAACUCUAACAUCUCCUGGCCUCCCGUGUGACGGCGGGUAGUCAUUUGGAGUUGGUUGCAGAUUUGGAGUUUGGUUAAAUUAGUUUAUUUUCAUGUUUGAUUUUGAUCAUUACUUAUCUUAUGCAUGUUUUUGUUAUCUGAUUA